GCCUGGGUGGCUCAGUCGGUUAAGCGUCCGACUUCAGCUCAGGUCAUGAUUUCCCGGUUCUUGGGUUCAAGUCCCAGGUCGGGCU
rnacentral:tRNA from 1 species